rfam:Acetobacteraceae bacterium AT-5844 genomic scaffold Scfld48, whole genome shotgun sequence.
GGGGGCUUAGCUCAGUUGGUAGAGCACCUGCUUUGCAAGCAGGGGGUCAUCGGUUCGAAUCCGAUAGCCUCCA